UUUGAAUAAGCGCCAUUAUGUAGCGAAUAAUAUUUAAAUAAGCCUUAUCAAACGAUGAUGCUUCUAAUAAGCGCCAUGGAUUGAAAAAUACUAUAGUAAACAGUGAUGCUUCCAAUAAGUGACAUUGAAUCUCAUAUUAUAAUCUAAAUAAUGACGUUUUUUAAAAGUGUCAAGGAAUCAAGCAUCAUUAAUUUCGAUUUUUGUAGUAGUGAAAUUAUCAAAGACAUAUUUAUCCUCAUAAAUUAAUUAUAACUAAAGCAAAGGGGUUCAAGUAACAAUGGAAGUUGUGGAGUAACAAAAGAGAUCAUUGAGGUAAUUAGGACAAAUGGAAAUAAAAAGGUAAAAUGAAGAUGUAGACUUAAGAAUAAGUUAAUUAUUUUUACUUAUUACUUAAAGUUGUUUUUGACUUUAAAUCACCAAACAUACUUAAUUUACUUAACGAAUUAAAUUAAGUUAUUAAGUUACUUUAAGUCAGUUUACCAAACACCCAUUUAGUAUCUUUAUAAAUACUUUAUUUUGUCGUUAGUGAAAUAAUAGAAAAAUUAUAUCACUACCAUUUUGUUUAAGAAAAUUCUAAAAAGAAAAAGAUUUUUCAAUCAUCUUUUUUUAUUGCAUUCUAAUAUGGAAAAAUAAUAAUUGAAUUUUUAAUAAGUCCAAUGAUUACUUGGCACAUUAAUGUGCAAUAAAUACAAAAAGAGAUGGUAAUCGACAACAAGUAUAUUAAGAACAACAUUUUGAUUUGCCUUCUUUGAGUACAAUAGUUAAGAGUUUCUAAAGGAGGAAGUUGGUUAUACUAAUUCAUUUAUGUUAAUAAAUAAUUUUUUGUACUAUAAUAAUUCUCUUUCAAUAGUUAGAAAAAGGACUAUAAAUUUAAGAGGCUAAAGUAUUAAUUAUACAUUAGUAAAAUCAAUUUAAAUUCCAAAUCCAACACUUUACCUCUAAUUACUGACUCCAUAAAAUUAUAAAAGAAAGUAUUCUUUUUUGCACUCUAAUUUAAACACUGAUUCAGAUUUUUAAGUAAAAUCGACUUUGAAUUAACAAUUUUAAAGUGAAAUUUCUUGAAAUAACAUCCACCUAAACAUGCAUGUUGUUCAAGAAAUAGUUCAUAUUGGUUAGCAGUUGACACAAAUUUCUUGAGAGGCCAAUCUCUGAACGUUAGUUUUUGACUUUUCCAUUAGAUCUCCAUAAAAUAAAGCAUGUUGUCUAUUUUCUGAUGGUAGGAAGUAGAAGGUGUAUAAAUUUGCCAAAACUAUAUACCCUUAGUCUUUGGUUUUAAAUAAUUUGAGGAAAAAUGGAAGGAAACGUAGAAAGAAUUGAAUAAAAAAUAAAUUUAAAACUAAUAAAUUUAUUUUUAUAUAUUAUUUUAAAAAUAGAUUUAAAAAUUAAAUAAUUUGAAAGUUAAUAAGUUUUUAACUAAUUUUACUUAUUUUUUUUAUUUUUUUUAUUAUUUUUCAUAAUAAAACACGAUAAAAUCAUUACCACUUUCCCAUAAUAAAACACAAUAUUAUUUUAUUCUUAUAGAUUAGAGAAAAUGUGUUUGCCUACAUUAUUUUAUGGAGCAGGGCCAACACAUUAUUAAAAUCGUUAAAUAUACUUUGCCUACAUUUUAUCCCUUCAGCUUUGAUGUGUUUUACAUUUUGGUCAUUUACAUUCAAAAUCCAAGACUUUCCCUCUAAUUACGACUCCAUUAAAUUAUAAAAGAAAGUAAACACUGAUUCAAAUUUAAGUAAAAUUGAUUUUGAAUUAAUAAUUUUAAAGUGAAAUUUCUCAAAUGCUUUCAAAAUCUGAUAACUAUUAACUUUGAUUUUAAAGAGAAGUUUGCACUGCUAGUUGUGGGUAUCUUUUGGCUUGGACGUGCCCAUUGGAUCAUGGUCCAAUUUAUUCAAUUUGGGUUUGGCCAUAGUUCAAAUAGGUUGGAGCUAAGCUAUAGGCUUAUGGCAUUGAGGUUUUAGGAACUUUCAUAGUGGCCUAGUGGUAAAUCUAAUACCUAAAGAGGCUCCAAAAUGUUAGGGUUUUCCAUUGUCCUGCAAACCCAGCUUUGGCAUACUAGUGAAUGUCACCUUUUGUUUAAUGGAACUAAAGUCAUAUUUGGUUAUUGGAAAGUAUAUAAAAAAAAAAGUAAAAAAAUUAAGAAAAAUAAUUAUUUUUCAUGUUUAAUUGUAUUAUAAAAAAUAUAAGAGAAAAACAAAUAUAAUUAAAAUUAGGUGGAAAUUUAUGUAUUUUUAAAUUAUUUAAUCAUAUAUGAAUGAAUUAAAAUAAAUAAAAUGAGUUUCAAAUAGUAUAUAAAAAUAAUUUAUUGGUUUUGACUUUAUUUUUUUAUAUUUUUCCUCUAUUUUAUUAAUUUCCUAAAUUUUCUAAGAAACAAAUGUAGCCCUAAUUUUUGUGCAUCACUUGAAACAAGGUAUAAGGAUAGAUAUAAGGAUGGGAGAUUUUAACAACUGAUUCAUGCUAGAAUUCUUGAAAUAACAUCCACCUAGACAUGCAUGUUGUUCAAGAAAUAGUUCAUAUUGGUUAGCAGUUGACACAAAUUUCUUGAGAGGCCAAUAUUUGAAUGUUAGUUUUUGACUUUUCUAUUAGAUCUCCAUAAAAUAAGCAGUGAAAAAUUGAGGGUGUUUGCAUAAUUAAUGUAAAGCAUAUUCUCUAUUUUUUGAUAGUAGGAAGUAGAAGGUGUAUAAAUUCUCCAAAACUAUGUAUCCUUAGUUUAUGUUUAGUUCUAAAAAAUUUGAGAAAAAAUGGAAGAAAACGUAGAAAGAAUCGAAUAAAAAAUAGAUUUAAACUUAAUAAAUUUAUUUUUAUAUAUUAUUUUAAACUCAUUUUAGUUAUUUUAAUUUUUUAUUUAAAAAUUAAAUAAUUUGAAAAUUAAUAAGUUUCUAAUUGAUAAACUCACUAAGUUUCUAAUUUAUUUAUUAAAUAAUUAAUAAAUUUAUCUUAAAUUCACUAAGUGAUUCAUGCUAUUCAAUAAUAAAACCGAAGGUUAAUACUUGCUUAUUUCAUGAAUUUGGGUUCAUCUAGAAUUACAUAGUAGCUACUUACUUUAAUUUUUUCGAAGUUCCAAUCCCAUGAGAUAGCAGAAUAGCUAAAAAGUUUUGUUUUGCUUCUUGUUGUCGCCACUGCAGUGAGGUUUGUCUAGAAUAUACCCAAAGCAUCAGAAAAGUAGUUGGAGAAUUACUUAGAGGAAUAUCAAAGAGCUUGGGAUUGGAAGAGUGGUAUAUAGACAAGACCAUGAAUAUGGAUUCAGGUUUACAAAUCCUCAUUGCCAACCUCUAUCCACCCUGUCCUCAGCCAGAGUAUGCAAUGGGAUUGCCGCCUCAUUCAGACCACAGCUUCUUGACCCUCCUCAUACAGAAUGGGAUUGGUGGGCUUCAGGUGCAGCACAAAGGACAUUGGGUCGAUGUGAAUCCAAUCCCCAACUCCAUUUUGGUUAACACCGGCGACCAUCUUGAGGUACCUUCCUACCUUGCUUAUUCUGUUGUUUCUAUUCAGAGAUUGGUUCUCCUAUUUGGUUUUUUGACAUGAAAUUCUUCAAAUUGAUAAAUGGUAGUUUUUUCAUUUUAUUUUUUCAUUCUAUUUUUUCAUUCGUUCAUGUACAGAAUAUAUAGAGGGUAAUCACCAUUCUAAGAAUGGGAAUGAAUGAUAUAAGGAAAUAACAAGUAAUAUCCUAAUAUCUCAACUUUCCUAAUAUCUCAACAUUCCUAAUAUCUCAACUUUCCUAAUAUCUAAACAUUCCUAAUAUCUCAACACUGAAUGAUACAAGGAAAGAAUGAUUUAAGGAAAUCAUUCCUAAUAUCUCAACACUCCCCUCAAGUUGGUGCAUAGAUGUCACACAUGCCCAACUUGUCUAAAAAAUUUGAGAACACUUGACUUAAGACAGCUUUGGUGAGGAUAUCGACCAAUUGAUAUUAUGAUCGAAUCUUAGGCAAUUCCACAAUCUUAUCAUCCAACUUUUCCUUAAUGAAGAAUCUAUCCACCUCGACAUGCUUUGUACGAUCAUGUUGUACUGGAUCAUGAGCAUGCAGCUUUAUUGUCACAAAACAAUGGGAUUGGUUGCCUAGAUAGGUAGCCUAAAUCCUGUAAGAGGAGUCUUAGCCAUAAUGCCUCACAAAGUCCUAGAGUCAUACCUCUAAAUUCUGCUUUUGCACUUGAACGAGUGACGACAUUUUGCUUCUUACUUUUCUAUAUCACAAGAUUACCACAUACAAAGGUAAAGUAACCAGAUGUAGAUCGCCUAUCAUCCACUGCACUAGCCCAAUCAGCAUCAGUAUAUACUUCUAUACUAUGAUGAUCAACAUUUUUAGCAAACAAAAUUCCCUUCCUAGGAGCAUUCUUCAAAUACAUCAAAAUACACAUGACUGCAUUCAUAUGUUGCUCUCCAGGAUUAUGCAUGUAUUGACUCACUACACUCAAUGCAUAAGCAAGAUCUGGUCUUGUAUGAGCUAAGUACAUUAAUCUCCCCAUAAGUCUCUGGUAUCUUCCCUUAUCAGUUGAUACUUGAUUAGGCUCAACACACAAUUUUAGACCUUCUUCUAUUGGUGUAUUAACAGGUUGACAUCCCUAUAUUCCAGUCUCUUGUAAAAGAUCUAAGGCAUACUUUCUUUGAGAUAGAAAAAUUCCUUCACUUGAUCGAGAAACUUCAAUCCUAAGAAAGUAUUUCAGAGGACCUAGAUCUUUCAUUUCGAAUUCUCUAGAUAGAUAAUUUUGCAUAGCUUUUCUUUCUUUAGGAUCAUUUCCUGUAACUACCAUGUCAUCCACAUAUACGAUGAGUGCCGUAAUCUUACCAUGUUGCUUUUUCAGGAACAAAGUGUGAUCUGAAUUAUGUUGACGAUAGCCAAAAGCUCUCAUUGACUUUGUGAACCUUCCAAACCAUGCUCUCGGGGAUUGCUUCAACCCAUACAAUGACUUCUUCAAUUUGCACACCUUCUGGCAUUGCUUUUCUGACACCAUGCUUCCUGGUGGAAGAUCCAUAUAUACUUCUUCAGAUAACUUGACAUGCAAAAAGGCAUUUUUCACAUCGAACUGUUGUAAUGGCCAAUCUAGGUUUGUAGUUAAAGACAGUAAUACUUGAACUGUGUUGAUCUUAGCUACAGGUGCAAAUGUCUCUAUGUAGUCAAUUCCAUAAGUCUGAGUGUACCCUUUUGCUACCAGUCUUGCUUUAAAUCGUUCAAUACUACCAUCUGACUUGUACUUCACAGUAUAGAUCCAACGACACCCAACUGGCUUCUUUCCUGGUGGACAUUCUACGAGUUCCCAUGUUUCAUUCUUCUGCAAUGAUUUCAUCUCUUCAUUCAUGGCUGCUUUCCACCUUGGAUCAGCUAAGGCUUCCUGCACACUGUUAGGAAUAGCUAUAGUAGAUAAUUGAUUUACAAAUGACUUAUUUGAUUCAGACAAACGAUAGUUAGACACAUAGUUGCUCAUGGGAUAUUUGACUUUGGUAGACAAUUCGGGUUCAUAUGUGGGUUUAGGAAUACCUCUAUUAUGACGGUGUGGUAACCAUUUCAUGAAUGGAUCAGGUUCCAAAUUAAGAACACCCUCAACAGACGACAAUUGGUUUGGUAUUUCAGUGAAGACAUCUUCGAACCCAAAUUGUUGACUACUCAUAUCCAACUCACCCGCCUUCUAGUUCACUAGUUCAGAUUGUCCAGAUUCAUCAUCCUCAGAGAUAUGAUAAUCAUAAUCGAGAGUCUGAAUUUCCUUAUGGUACUCUCCUUAAAGUUUAGACUCAUAUGAAAAAUACAUCGAAUNNNNNNNNNNNNNNNNNNNNNNNNNNNNNNNNNNNNNNNNNNNNNNNNNNNNNNNNNNNNNNNNNNNNNNNNNNNNNNNNNNNNNNNNNNNNNNNNNNNNGUACUGAGUUUCAAUCAUUUUAUGAAAUUUUUGAAACAACAAGUUCACUUCAUCUUUGGUCUUCAUCAAGCAUAACCAUGUCAUUCUAGUACAAUCAUCAAUUAAAGUAACAAACCAACAUGAGCCACUCAAAGUUGGGACUUUGGAUGGGCCCCAAACAUCAGAAUGUAUAACCAUAAAAGGAAGCGGACUUUUAUUCAAAAUUAACGAAAAUGAAGCACGAUGGCUUUUAGGUAAUUCACAAAUAUCACAACGGAAACCAGAAAUAUCACUAUUUACAAACAAACUAGGAAACAAUUUUUUUUAAAUAACCAAAGGAAGCAUGUCCCAGACGUCGAUGCCACAACCAAAUUUCAGACUUUUUCUUCUCCCUCUCAAAUCCAUCUGCCAUCAAGGCUUGUUGCAACUUAUUUGAAUCAUUUGACUGCAAGUCCAAGUAAUAGAUUUUUCCUCGCUUAAUACCACAAUUAAUCGUUUGUCUUGUUUGGAUGUCCUUAAUCACACAAAAUUUAAGCUAAAAAAUGACAAUACAAGAUAAGGCUGCAAUGAUUUGAGAAACUGACAAAAGAUUGUAAUAUAAAGAUGGAACAACUAAAACAUAAUCCAAAUUCAAAGUAUCAGUAAGAGUUAAGGAUCCUUCCUCAAUGACUAGGGUUGUGUUACCAUUGGCUAUGGAAAUAAUUUUUUGUGAGGAAGGUCUAAGGGGUGAAACCUGUCUAGAAUCAAAAGUCAUAUGAUCUGUAGCACCAGAAUCAAUUAUCCAUGCAAUAUUAAUAACAGGUGUAAAAGUAUUUAAAAACUUACCACCAUGAUCUGUAGCAGCUACCAAUGCAAAGGCUUUCUCAGCAACAUUAGCCUCUGUUUUUAUUUCGACAACAGUUGUAGUCGAUGUUUUCUUGGAAUCCUUCUUUCGUUGAUCACGAUUAUUAUCAUUAAUAACAAAGUGGUGAUAGCCUAAACAUGAUCUAAAGGUCCAUGGUUCGAACCCUCGGUUCCUCAUUGUUUUCCUGGUCAUACCAAGAGUUGUUGCUUUGAAAUUGUGGGAUAUCCAGACUAGUGGGAUCAGUCUUAUUGCAGUGAGUGCAUUUGAAGGUUGACUUAUCAAUAUUAGUAAUAUCUCAACUUUCCCAAUAUCUCAACAUUCCUAAUAUCUCAACAUUCCUAAUAUCUCAACUUUCCUAAUAUCUAAACAUUCCUAAUAUCUCAACAUUGAAUGAUACAAGGAAAGAAUGAUAUAAGGAAAGCAUUUCUAAUAUCUCAACAGAAAUAACGUAUGCUUUGGUAAUUUAUUUUUAAAAUCAAUGAUUAUCUUAUCGAAGAAUGGAAAAAAAAAAGUAUGAGAGGAUAGCUUUACUCUUCCAUUUGUUGACUUAAGGUUAUAUUUAGUUUACGAUAUGACUUAUUCUAUAUGCAAUCAAACUUACGAUAUGAUAAAUGGUAGGAUGUAUUAUCCCAUUUCAUUUUUUUUUAUCGACUCUACAUGAAAUAUGAUAAUUUUAAGUUGAAAUAUGAGGUAUACACAACCAUCAAUUAUAAAUUUAUUUUUCUUAUACAUUUUCUUCUUCUUUUUUUUUCAAGUUUUUAUAUUAUACAUUUUGUAAAAGAGUAAAUUUUAAUUGAAAAAUCAAAUUUGUAGUUUAAAAACGAAAUAAAAAUAUGUAAAAAAAAAUAUAUUGUAAAAUAAUAUAUAUAUAUAUAUAUAUAUAUAUAUAUAUAUAUAAUUUUUUAUUUAUAAAUUAUAAAUAUUUAAUUAUGAAUAUUAUUAAAAAAAUAAAAAUUACUUAUUAAACUAUAAAUUAUAAAACAAUUUUCAAAUAAUAUUAAUUAUGAGGGAGAUUUCAUACGUUUUUAAUAGAAAAUAUUAUGUAAUAUAAUUUUUAUUUUAAAGAAAUAUUGAACAUUAAAAUCCAAGAUGCUUUCAGCUCCAUUAUUUAUUCUUUUAAUAUAUCAAUAUCCCCUAUACUCAAUUGUUUAUAAUAUUUAAGUCUAUGAUAUUUAAAGAUAUCACAUUCCACUAAAAAUGAUAUCCUAAAUAUACAUAUAUAGUGGGAUCGAUAUGAUAUUUUAAGAAAUAAAUAUUCCAUUUAAUUUUAUCUAACCCACCAACCAAAUAUAACCUUAUUACACAUAUGACAAACCUUGCAAUGAUAUUUAAAUAAUAAUAUUGUAUAUGAAAUAUAAAAAUAAAAUAUUUUAAUGCCAUUAAAAUUAAUGAGGAAAGGGAAAGUAAGGUGGUAUAUAUCUUUUUUACGCCAAUUUUGUUUUGUUAGAUACAAUAUCCCAUAAGAUAAUUUGAUACGAAAACUUAUCAAACUAUUUUUGCAGUUUUACAACUUGGAGUUUUACCCUAAUCGUGCGUACAUUGUGCAUAAACUUUAGAAUAUAUAUGAUAAAAACUUAUCAAACCAAACAUCUUUAAGCAUAAACUUUUGUAAGUACAUUGUGCAUGAUUUAUGUCCAAGUGAUGGUUAACACCCACAAUAACAAACAAAUAUUUAGCAAGAUUUAGCUCACUUUACUUAUAUUCAUGCCUUAAUGCAACAAAACAUGUCUACAACUUACAUAAAAAGGAGUACUUCUCCAUGGCUAAAUCACAAAUCCAUAAUAAUAGAUAUGAAUGUAUGGUAAUUCAUUUGAAACAAUAGGAAUUCUCCUUAAUCAAAAUUAUGCCACAAGAACCUAGUUUAAUAGCAUAGUUUCCAUGAGAAUAAUUGAAAAUAAUGACUCUAGCUUAAGAAGAAGAUUAUACAUCGUAACAACUUGAAUCUCGUAGAAAAUAACCUUAUUUUUCUCUUAUUUUCUUCACGUUCUCUCUAAACACUUCUCUCCAAAUUGGGUCGAUGUAGAGAAAAUGCUAGGAGAACAACGAGGCUACAUAUAUUAAUUUUGGUAGGCACCAUUUAUUUUAUAUGUGGGAUCUAUUUUUGUCAUUCCUCCAAACAAAUCCUCCCAUUCGGUUGGCGUAUAUACAAGCACUCAUAGUAUAAUUUUUUUGUUAGUUCCCCUUCUCAACAUUGGCAACAAAAUCAAUUGAUAUCUUGAAGAAGUUUUUGUUUAUAUAAUUUAUUUUUUUCCCUUUUCCACAUUAUGUAUAUGCAUAUACAAAAUCGGACAAGAUUUGUCGGGUCCAUAUAAGAUAUAGAGUUUUUUUUUUUUUUCAUUUUUUGAAAAAUCAAUCAAAUAUGAAUGAUGUAAAGGGAUUAAACUUGAGCACAAUAGAUGGGGUUGUGACCAACUAUUUCACAUUUAAAUACUAGAUACAUUUUAUUUAAUACAGUUUAAAAUAUUCAUAUAUUUAUACUUAUCAAUGAUUUAAUUUGAUAAUAUCAAAGAUGAAAAAUAAAAAUUAUUCUUUUUGCUAUAUAUUUAAAUUUUUAUAAUUAUUUUAAUUCUAAUAAUAUAUAUAAAUUAUAUAUUUAUAAUAUCAUUAGUUUGAUCAUAAUUCAACAACCGAUCUGACCAUUGACCAUUAAACCAUGAAUCGAUAACAUUUCCAAUUCAAUGAUUGGUUUAGUUAUAAAAACAUUACAUAUACGUAUAUUUAUUUCAAAAAUUGUUCUUGCAUCCUAAUUAAUUUAUUUAACACAAGUUUUAAACAUUUUUUUUGUUUUCUAUUUAAGAAUUGGAGUGAGCAUCAUUUUUCUUCAUUUCUAUUUCAAUAAAUCCAUUAUUUUUGUACAAGGUUUUAAGUAAUGGUAAGUACAAGAGUAUUUUGCAUCGAGCAGUGGUGAAUAACAAAACCACUAGGAUAUCAUUGGCUGUUUCAAAUGGACCAUCACUAGACACAGUCGUUGAGCCAGCACCAGAGCUAAGUCAGCCAUCGACAUAUGUUGGAAUGACAUUUAAAGAAUACUUGGAACUUCAACAAGGAAACAAGCUUGAUGGGAAAACUUGCUUGGAUCGAGUCCGAAUCAAAACAAUGUGAACUUCAUUCCCAUCCCUUGCAUGUGAGAAUAUUGGUAAUAUCAAUGCUCAAAUAAUUUAAAAUGUUCUUAGAACAUAGAUAAUACGUAAAUGUUGGGGAUUGCUAAUGAACAUUUAUGCUUUUAUUUGUUGAUAUUAUGGUGGAUGUUUUUGUGUGAUUUGAGAGAAUAACAAAUGAAAUCAUUUCUAUCUUCUAUUUUAUUACUAUAGCCUUGAUAAAGUUCAUAGUUAAAGCACUAAUUUUCUAGCAAGCUUGAAAAUUUAAUUAGUUAGGG
rnacentral:lncRNA from 1 species